rnacentral:rRNA from 1 species
AGAACGAACGCUGGCGGCAGGCCUCAAACAUGCAAGUCUAGGGGGUGUAGCAAUACAUCACCGGCGGACGGGUGCGUAACGCGUGGGAAUAUACCUAUUGGUUCGGAACAACUGAGGGAAACUUCAGCUAAAUACCGAAUAAGUCCUUACGGAGAAAGAUUUAUCGCCAAUAGAUUAGCCCGCGUUCGAUUAGCUAGUUGGUGGGGUAACGGCCCACCAAGGCGACGAUCGAUAGCUGUUCUGAGAGGAAGAUCAGCCACACUGGGACUGAGACACGGCCCAGACUCCUACGGGAGGCAGCAGUUGGGAAUCUUGGACAAUGGGGGAAACCCUGAUCCAGCCAUGCCGCGUGAGUGAUGAAGGCCUUCGGGUUGUAAAACUCUUUCGCGCACGACGAUAAGUGACGGUAGUGCGAGAAGAGCUCCGGCUAACUUCGCGCCAGCAGCCGC